GUGAGAGUUCACAUGAUCUCUGUAGGUCUCCCAGGCUGGGGUCUACCUUUAGCUGUCCGCUGUCUGCAGUCCGCUGUUGGACAGCGUCGUCUGUCGGCUGUCGGCGAACGGGUGUGCCAUUUCCUAAUGAAGUUAUUCUCAUGCAGCGACCGCACUGCGAUGCCCGCUAUCUGGCAGAGCUAUUGCCAAUAUCUAUUGGCAAGUGGAGAAACAAUAACGGCAAGUGCCCCUUCGACUUGCAUUAGAUUUCUAUUUUAUUUUAUUUUAUUUUUUGGCCACUUUGGGCACAUAAAAUAAAAUCAAAUGAUGCGUUGAAAGCGGCGCAGUCCAGCAGCUACAAUAGAAGGCCGAGGGAUGUCAGAGUCAUGUGUGGUUGGCUGAGUGGCCGCCCGGGGGUGUGGCACUUUUUGGUUGAAUAGACAACGCAGAUGCCAACAGCCAACAGCCAACAGCCAGUGGCCAGUGGCCAGGACAAGGCAAGUGCCUUCAUGUGGUUAUUUCCGAGCAGUCGCCGUUUGUCCAUUUGAUGAUUUUUGCGUCACCGUUGCUCGAAAUCAUUCCGAGCGCAAGCAACUGGAAACUGUAUAAAAAUAAUGAAAAUCACAAAAAAAAAAAAAGAAGCUGUACGCAGAGAGCGAACAGAAAAAAAAAAAAACGCAACGCACCAACUUGAAAUAAAUGGUCAAAAGAAAUAAACAGUCCCAUAAAGAAUAA